GAGCCCCCAGGAGUUCCCUUCAAACACUUCACGGCAAACUGCUUAGGGAGUCGCGUGAAGUGUUUGGGGGAACUCUUGGUGUCAC
rnacentral:pre_miRNA from 1 species